rnacentral:lncRNA from 1 species
UCCGAAAACAGGAACAGCACCAGGGGGAGGCGGCAUUCCAGGGCGUGGGGGUGGUGGAGCAGGCAUUCCAGGGCGUGGUGGUGGUGGACCAGGAGGUCCUCUCAUCAUUGAUCCCGGAGGUGGAACCAUUGGCCUCUGACCAUAUUGUGGUGGUGGGACAGGGAAUUGUUGAGGUGGCCUUACUCCAAAAGCAGGUGGUGGUACCUGUGGAGGAGGACCACGUUGCAUCUGAGGAGCCUGUGGUUGACCAGGGUAACCACCAGGUGGCAUUUGUCCAGGUGGACGGAUAACAGGAGGUGCUCCACUAGCAGCAGGGUAAGUCAUAGGCGGAGCUGACAGUUGCGGAACCGGCGGCCGUGAAAUCUGGGGCUGCAUCAUCCCAGGAG